GCUGGCUGCUGAGCACAGGUGGUUUUGGAGGCACAAGAGGAGACCUUGCCAGAUCGUGGCUGUGCCCUCAGUGCUCGGCUCCGUUUGUUUCAAUUAUUUUUCCAGUCAGUGCCAGCAGGGUGGGCAGAACUUCCCAGCUCAGUCACACCAGCCCAAAGUGCACAAUUUGGAGGGACCCGCUGCCUCCAGUCUCCUGUGGGGGAAAGACAGGCAGGAUCAAGCAGGCUGCAGGGAGAGACACUGGGGAAUGGAAACACAGAGAUCAAAAUACCACCCCAACCCAGGGAGAAGAGACUAUUGUAGACACUGUCCACUUUGGCCUGGGGAGGAAGGAUGUAGCCCCAAAAUGGCGAAGACUGGCUUAUCAUUCAAGGUCUGAGGCAGAACAGAGGAUCCUUCUGCUCUCCCGGAGUGGGAAAUACAGAGAAACCUCUUCCCUGUGCUGCUGUAUGGCUCCCAGGAGGCCAUGCUU